rnacentral:rRNA from 1 species
CGGAUAAACGCCUGGGCGGCCUCUUACACAUGCAAGUCGAACGAACUUCGGGUAGUGGCGGACGGGUGAGUACGGAGAAUCUGCCUCAGUGAGGGGGACAACAGUUGGAAACGACUGCUAAUACCCCAUAUGCCGCGAGGUGAAAUGAAUUUCGCCUGAGGAUGAGCUCGCGUCUGAUUAGCUAGUUGGUGUAGGUAAUGGCUCACCAAGGCAUCGAUCAGUAGCUGGUCUGAGAGGAUGAUCAGCACACUGGGACUGAGACACGGCCAGACUCCUACGGGAGGCAGCAGUGGGGAAUUUUCCGCAAUGGGCGAAAGCCUGACGGAGCAACGCCGCGUGAGGGAUGAAGGCCUCUGGGCUGUAAACCUCUUUUAUCAAGGAAGAAGAUCUGACGGUACUUGAUGAAUAAGCCACGGCUAAUUCCGUGCCAGCAGCCGCGGUAAUACGGGAGUGGCAAGCGUUAUCCGGAAUUAUUGGGCGUAAAGCGUCCGCAGGCGGCCUUCAAGUCUGCUGUUAAAAAGUGGAGCUUAACUCCAUCAUGGCAGUGGAAACUGUUGGGCUUGAGUGUGGUAGGGGCAGAGGGAAAUUCCCGGUGUAGCGGGUGGAAAUGCGUA